rnacentral:tRNA from 1 species
GGUGCAGGGUCGGCUGACGGCCGAGGUCGGCGGGCUGUUCCUGGCGGCCCUGCCGGCGGUCGGGUUGGGGGCGUGGCUCGGCUUCACCCUGUACCGCC